AUUGAACGCUGGCGGCAGGCCUAACACAUGCAAGUCGAACGAGUGGCGGACGGGUGAGUAAUGUCUGGGACACUGCCUGAUGGAGGGGGAUAACUAAUGGAAACGGUAGCUAAUACCGAAUACCAACAGCUGUGCGCAGAUGGGAUUGGCUAGUUGGUGGGGUAACGGCUCACCAAGGAGACGAUCCCUAGCUGGUCUGAGAGGAUGACCGGCCACACUGGAACUGAGACACGGUCCAGACUCCUACGGGAGGCAGCAGUGGGGAAUCUUGCACAAUGGGCGCAAGCCUGAUGCAGCCAUGCCGCGUGUAUGAAGAAGGCCUUCGGGUUGUAAAGUACUUUCAUCGGGGAGGCGUUACCCGCAGAAGAAGCACCGGCUAACUCCGUGCCAGCAGCCGCGGUAAUAC
rnacentral:rRNA from 1 species